rnacentral:rRNA from 2 species
UGGGGAAUAUUGGGCAAUGGGCGAAAGCCUGACCCAGCGACGCCGCGUGCGGGAAGAAGGUCUUCGGAUUGUAAACCGCUGUUGAUAGGGAAGAAGAAAGUGACGGUACCUAUCGAGGAAGUCACGGCUAACUACGUGCCAGCAGCCGCGGUAAUACGUAGGUGGCGAGCGUUAUCCGGAAUUACUGGGUGUAAAGGGUGUGUAGGCGGGACGGCAAGUCAGAUGUGAAAUCCGGGGGCUCAACCCCCGGCCUGCAUUUGAAACUGCUGUUCUUGAGUGUCGGAGAGGUAAACGGAAUUCCCAGUGUAGCGGUGAAAUGCGUAGAUAGUGGGAGGAACACCAGUGGCGAAGGCGGUUUACUGGACGACAACUGACGCUGAGACACGAAAGCGUGGGGAGCAAACAGG